CUUGAACUAGAUAAGAGGUCCAGCCUGCCCAGUGAAAAUAUUCAACGGCCGCGGUAUCCUAACCGUGCGAAGGUAGCGUAAUCACUUGUUCUUUAAAUGAGGACUAGUAUGAAUGGCACCACGAGGGUUUUACUGUCUUCUUUUUUUAAUCAGUGAAACUAAUCUCCCCGUGAAGAAGCGGGAAUUUAAUUAUAAGACGAGAAGACCCUAUGGAGCUUUAAACAAACAACAUUUGCUGCACAUAACACUUUUACUUUUAAAAAGUAUAGCAUUAUGAUUUUUAGUUUUUGAUUGGGGUGAUCACGGAGCAAAAUGAAACCUCCACGCCGAAAGGGUUUUACCCUGAGCAAAAAGCUACAGCUUUAAGCACUAAGAAAUUAACGCAAUUUGACCCAAUAUUUUGAUCAACGAAC
rnacentral:rRNA from 1 species